GCAGUCAUGGCCGAGUGGUUAAAGCAUUAGACUGGAAAUCUAAUCCCCUUUGGGGUCGCAUGUUCAUAUCCUGCUGACUGCG
rnacentral:tRNA from 1 species